rnacentral:rRNA from 1 species
UACGGAGGGUGCGAACGUUAAUCGGAAUCACUGGGCGUAAAGCGCGCGUAGGCGGUUUGUUAAGUGGGAUGUGAAAUCCCCGGGCUUAACCUGGAAUUGCAUUCAAACUGGCCGACUAGAGUACGGUAGAGGAGUGAGAAUUUCCUGUGUAGCGGUGAAAUGCGUAGAUAUAGGAAGGAAUACCAGUGGCGAAGGCGCCUCCUGGAUCGAUACUGACGCUGAGGCGCGAAGCGUGGGAGCAAACAGGAAUUAGA